rnacentral:rRNA from 1 species
UGAUCCUGGCUCAGAGCGAACGCUGGCGGCAGGCCUAACACAUGCAAGUCGCGCGCCGUAGCAAUACGGAGCGGCAGACGGGAGAGUAACACGUGGGAACGUGCCCUUUGGUUCGGAACAACCCAGGGAAACUUGGGCUAAUACCGGAUAAGCCCUUACGGGGAAAGAUUUAUCGCCGAAGGAUCGGCCCGCGUCUGAUUAGCUAGUUGGUGGCGUAAUGGCCCACCAAGGCGACGAUCAGUAGCUGGUCUGAGAGGAUGAUCAGCCUCACUGGGACUGAGACACGGCCCAGACUCCUACGGGAGGCAGCACUGGGGAAUAUUGGACAAUGGGCGCAAGCCUGAUCCAGCCAUGCCGCGUGGGUGAUGAAGGCCCUAGGGUUGUAAAGCCCUUUCGGCGGGGAAGAUAAUGACGGUACCCGCAGAAGAAGCUCCGGCUAACUACGUGCCAGCAGCCGCGGUAAGACGUA